GGGUCAGUAGGUUGGUCGUGCCACCGGUACGUACUGGUCUCACUGAUUCCUCCUUCCUGAAGAACCGUAAUGCCAUUAAUUUGGUGUUGCGGGGAAACAGGACUAUUACUUUGAAAAAAUUAGAGUGUUUAAAGCAAGCUAACGCUUGAAUACAUUAGCAUGGAAUAAUGAAAUAGGACGAUCGAUCCUAUUUUGUUGGUUUCUAGGAUUGACGUA
rnacentral:rRNA from 1 species